UACGGGGGGUGCGAGCGUUGUCCGGAAUCACUGGGCGUAAAGGGCGCGUAGGUGGUUUGAUAAGGGUGUGGUGAAAGUCCGGGGCUCAACCCCGGAUCUGCCGUGCCGACUGUCAAACUCGAGGACUGUAGAGGCAGACGGAAUUCCGGGUGUAGCGGUGGAAUGCGUAGAGAUCCGGAGGAAGACCGGUGGCGAAGGCAGCCCCCUGGGUCAAAACUGACGCUCAUGCACGAAAGCGUGGGGAGCAAACAGG
rnacentral:rRNA from 1 species